rnacentral:rRNA from 1 species
AUGUCAAACUUCACACUUACCGUUCCUUCUUCCUUAGCAAUGGCCAGCACCAAACACGUCUUGCUCUUCCCGUUCCCGGCCCAAGGCCACCUCGGGGCGUUCAUGUCCCUCGCCGAACUCCUCCACCGCGCCAUCCCGUCCGCCGCCGUAACUCUGGUCUCCCCCCCUCGAAACGUCGCUGCCCUCUCCGCCACGGCGCCGCCAUGGCUUGCGUUCCACUCGCUCCCCUUCAACCCAGCCGACCACGGCCUGCCGACCCACGCCGAGUCCGCCGACGCCCUCCCCGUCGGGUUCCCCUUGGUCACCCUCUUCGAAGCUUUCGAGGCUCUGCAGCCCGCCUUCGACGGCUACGUGGCCAGCAUGGCCAAGGACGACUCCGUCGUCUCCAUCGUCUCCGACCUGUUCGUCGCGUGGGCCGCCAGCGUCGCGCGGAGGAACGGGUGCUCCCACGCCUUCUUCGCCUCGUGUGGCGCGUUCGGCACGGCCAUCCUGCGCUCACUGUGGGAGAACGUGCCGCUCUCGGUCACCCCCACCGGGCACGUACCCGUGCCCGGGUUCCCCGGCAAGAUCUUCCACAAGACGCAGGUAUCCGAGGUCAUGCUCCGUGCGGACGGCGAGGACCGGGCGUCGGCUUUCUGUCACCGGCAGAUAGCUCACAGCCACGCGACGGACGGGGUGCUCAUCAACACCGUGGAGGAGUUCGAGCCAACGGGGCUGGGCUUGCUACGGAGCAGCCUGCGCGUCCCGGUUUGGCCCAUCGGGCCUCUCAUCCGCGUCGCCGGCGCAAGACCGGCCGCCUCCGCCGACAAAGUGCACGACGGCAUGGUAAGCUGGCUGGACACGCAGCCGCCGGCCUCGGUGCUCUACGUGUCGUUCGGGUCCCAGAACUCCAUCCGGCAGGCGCAGAUGGCGGUGCUGGCAAUGGCGCUGGAGCACGCCGGACGGCCGUUCAUCUGGGCUAUCCGGCCGCCUGUGGGGCUCGCCGUCGCGGCGAGCGAGUGGCUGCCGGAAGGAUUCGAGAAGAGAGCGCGCGACGAGAACAGAGGGCUCGUCAUCCGUGGAUGGGCUCCGCAGGUGACUAUCCUCGCCCAUCGCUCCACGGGCGCGUUCCUCUCGCACUGCGGGUGGAACUCGGUGCUGGAGAGCCUUGUGCACGGCGUGCCGCUCCUCGGAUGGCCGCUCGCCGCCGACCAGUUCUACAACGUGGAGAUGUUGGAGAAGGAGUGCGGCGUGUGCGUGGAGGUGGCGAGGGGAAGCACGGAGGACGCGGCGCCGCCUGAGAUUGACAGGGUGGCGGAGCUGGUCGAGACGGUGAUGGGGCAGACGUCCAAGGCGGCGGAGAUGCGGAGACGGAUGAAGUGCAUCGGCGAGUUGAUGAGAGGCGCAGCUACAGACGACGUUGGGUCAUCGAAGAAGGCGCUCGAGAGCUUCCUGGGAGCAACGAGGAUGCAUUGA